AAUCUUCUUCAAUGGGCGCAAGCCUGACCGAGCGACGCCGCGUGGAGGACGAAGGCCUUCGGGUUGUAAACUCCUGUCGAGGGGGAGAAAGGGCUCCGUGCAGAGCGGCGUUUGAUCGAUUCCUCGUAGGAGGUAAGCACUGGGGCUAAGUUCGUGCCCAGCCAGCCGCGGUAAGACCGAGACCGAUGCGAACGUUAAUCGGAAUCACUGGGGUUAAAGCGCGUGUAGGGGGAUCUGCGGCAAUUCCGCCCCUGAAUUCCCCCGGCUCAACCGGGGAAUGUCGCUCGGAUACUGGCGCAGGUCUGGAGGGAGCGUAGGGGCGGUACGUGGAAUCUUCCGGUGGAGCGGUGAAAUGCGUAUGAGAUCGGAAGGAACGCCACAGUGGCGAAAGCG
rnacentral:rRNA from 1 species